rnacentral:lncRNA from 1 species
GAGAUGUUGUUGCCGCCUUUGUGUAUGUUGGGAUUGUCUCUUGUAUCUCCUGGUAUGGCUGUGUUUGUUUCUCUUUUAUUUGAUGGGUAAUAUGUAAACAAAAAUCAUUGUUAGUUGUAUUUAUCAUAGUUUGUAAUUUACUCUGCCUUUUUGUUUAGGUAAUUUCACUGGUCUUGGUUGUCGUCUUCGUCUUCUUCGUAAGCAUCUGCGAAAGUAAGUUUGUAAAUUGUUAAAUAGCUGGUCGUGUAGUUUGUAUUUGUUUAGCUAGCUCAAUGUAUGUGUCGUUGAAUUUUAGUUGUGUUGAUUGGUUUGGUAUAUUUGUUUUGAAGUUUAUUUGCAAGAUUAGA